UACAGAGGUCCCAAGCGUUGUUCGGAUUCACUGGGCGUAAAGGGUGCGCAGGUGGUUUGGCAAGUUUGAUGUGAAAGCCCCGGGCUUAACCCGGGAAUGGCAUUGAAUACUGCUUGAACUGGGAGGGUGCGGAGGGGGGACUGGAAUUCUUGGUGUAGCAGUGAAAUGCGUAGAUAUCAAGAGGAACACCAGUGGCGAAGGCGAGUCCCUGGACGAUACCUGACACUGAGGCACGAAAGCCAAGGGAGCAAACAGG
rnacentral:rRNA from 1 species